rnacentral:rRNA from 1 species
UACGGGGGGGAGCAAGCGUUGUUCGGAUUUACUGGGCGUAAAGGGCGCGUAGGCGGCGCAACAAGUCACUUGUGAAAUCUCCGGGCUUAACCCGGAGCGGCCAAGUGAUACUGUCGUGCUAGAGUGCGGAAGGGGCUACUGGAAUUCUCGGUGUAGCGGUGAAGUGCGUAGAUAUCGGGAGGAACAUCAGUGGCGAAGGCGACCACCUGGCCCAACACUGACGCUGAGGUGCGAAAGCGUGGGUAGCAAACAGG